CGGGUUUCACAUUAACGCAUGC
rnacentral:siRNA from 1 species